UGGGGUAUAGCUCAGUGGUAGAGCCUGUGCUUAGCAUGUGCGAGGUCCUGGGUUCAACCCCUAGUAUCUCCA
rnacentral:tRNA from 1 species